AUGGACUAUACAUUUACUGCCGACGGUGUUCGUGUCCAUGCAACAGAGCUUGUAAUGUCCCCAACACCACUUCUAGUCACUCAAGCCACUGUACCAGUUAACCCGAAGCCUUUCCUGAACAACCUGACAGGGAAGUCUGUUAUUGUCAAACUGAAGUGGGGUAUGGAGUACAAAGGGUACCUUGUUUCUGUGGACUCUUACAUGAAUCUGCAGCUUGCUGAUACAGAGGAGUAUAUUGAUGGACAAUUCUCUGGAAACCUUGGAGAUAUACUGAUAAGGUGCAACAAUGUUAUGUAUAUGCGUGGCGUUCCAGAGGAUACCGAGAUAGAGGAUGCAGCGUGA
rnacentral:rRNA from 1 species